rnacentral:tRNA from 1 species
UGGUCUAGUUGGUUAUGACGACUGCCUAACACGCAGUAGGUCCCGAGUUCGAUUCUCG